GGCCGGGUAGGAACUAUUUUGGCUUAAUAGUGACUGUCUUUCCUAAGCACUUUAAUACAUCAUGUUAUACAUUCAAUUCAACUCUAAUAACCAAAUCACACCAUUUUUGUCUACCCCAUUCUUUUGUUUUUACCCCAUCUUAUUAAGCUCAUUUACAUACACUAUGGUGGGAGUAUUCUAUACACAACUCAUUUAAUUUGAACAAAUUCUUAUUCUUUUCAUUACCCAACUCCCCACCACAACACAUAAC
rnacentral:lncRNA from 1 species